rnacentral:piRNA from 1 species
UAAAUUCAGCUUCAAGGGUAUGC